GUUGCCUGUGAUACAAUCUCAUUGGUGUAAUUUUGUAAGAUAGUUAUGUACUAUAAAGCUAAAAAUAUUAUAUUUAUAUAUCAACUAUUAAUCAUAGGUGAACAAUAUUUUUGAUAUACAAUUGAAAUUGGGAAGGGCAAUUGUAAGACAUAGAUGCCCUGCCUUCAAAUAUUUAUGUUACAAAAGGCUUUAAGAAUCCAGUAUUGCUC
rnacentral:lncRNA from 1 species